UACGGGGGGGGCAAGCGUUGUUCGGAAUUACUGGGCGUAAAGGGCUUGUAGGUGGCCAACUAAGUCAGACGUGAAAUCCCUCAGCUUAACUGGGGAACUGCGUCUGAUACUGGAUGGCUUGAGUUUGGGAGAGGGAUGCGGAAUUCCAGGUGUAGCGGUGAAAUGCGUAGAUAUCUGGAGGAACACCGGUGGCGAAGGCGGCAUCCUGGACCAACACUGACACUGAGGGACGAAAGCUAGGGGAGCGAAUGGG
rnacentral:rRNA from 1 species